GGCUGUAGCUCAGUGGUAAAGCACUUGCCUCACAUGUGUAAGGCACUGAGUUGGAUCCUCAGCACCA
rnacentral:tRNA from 1 species